rnacentral:rRNA from 1 species
CCACCGGAGCUUGCUCCACCGGAAAAAGAAGAGUGGCGAACGGGUGAGUAACACGUGGGUAACCUGCCCAUCAGAAGGGGAUAACACUUGGAAACAGGUGCUAAUACCGUAUAACAAUCGAAACCGCAUGGUUUUGAUUUGAAAGGCGCUUUCGGGUGUCGCUGAUGGAUGGACCCGCGGUGCAUUAGCUAGUUGGUGAGGUAACGGCUCACCAAGGCCACGAUGCAUAGCCGACCUGAGAGGGUGAUCGGCCACAUUGGGACUGAGACACGGCCCAAACUCCUACGGGAGGCAGCAGUAGGGAAUCUUCGGCAAUGGACGAAAGUCUGACCGAGCAACGCCGCGUGAGUGAAGAAGGUUUUCGGAUCGUAAAACUCUGUUGUUAGAGAAGAACAAGGAUGAGAGUAACUGUUCAUCCCUUGACGGUAUCUAACCAGAAAGCCACGGCUAACUACGUGCCAGCAGCCGCGGUAAUACGUAGGUGGCAAGCGUUGUCCGGAUUUAUUGGGCGUAAAGCGAGCGCAGGCGGUUUCUUAAGUCUGAUGUGAAAGCCCCCGGCUCAACCGGGGAGGGUCAUUGGAAACUGGGAGACUUGAGUGCA